rnacentral:lncRNA from 1 species
GUAAUCUCUAAAAUUUUAAUUUUAAAUUUAACAAAUUUGAACGUAGUUUUUGAGGACAAGAUGAUUUCAAAUGAAAAAAAUUAUCAACUACAAAGUUUUAUAACUUUUUGAGAUCUAAAACAUUUAUUUUGAUGGUUUUUUCAUACGAGGUCAUUUGAAAAACUUAAAAAAAUCAAUUUCAAAUUAUUUCUACAAGCAAUUUUCUUAACAAACGGCCACUACAAAUCCUAUUU